CUCUGUCCCUUCUGUCUUCUGCCAUGUGAGGACACAGUGUUUCUCUUCUUUGGAUGACACAGUGUUCAAAAUGCCAUUGUGGAAGCCAAGAGCAGCCCUCACCAGAUGCUGGUGCCUUGAUCUUGGACUUCUCAGCCUUCAGAAUGACCACUGGACCAAACCCAGAAUGCUUAGAUGCCAAGCUCAACCCUGGACUUAUUGAAGAAUGACUUACUGAAGGAGGAGCAGAGUCUGAGCAGAAGCAGUCCCUCAUAAUCACCACAACUGGGAAUGUGCCAAGUCUCUUCUGAAGUAAGCGCAGCUCUGAGUCUCACCCAACGCUCAUGCUACAGAGCAGCAUCUGAAGAGCCACGGGGCCCCCACCUUCAUCCCUGAGAAUUUUAGGAGCCAGCCUGCCUUUCCAGGUGACACUGGACACUUUCAUCUGAGAACCCUGUCACACGACAGUUGUUUCCUUUCUUCCUACUCUCCUGGGAAUGCUGCUGCUUCGAUGACCCAAGAGCCUAAGAAGGGUAGCUGUUUCUCAAUACACUGAGAGAGAGUUCUUUCUCGGUCCUGACCAUCUUGGGACCCGAUGGCAAGACUGGAAGGAUUUAUAUCUCCUUUUGUACAGAAAACUGCCUCCCCAUGUUGGUUUGUGAAGUGAAAUGCAUAUAAAACAGAGGAUUCCAGACUCUCAGAAGUCAAUACAUAAAUAAAUAAAAAUAAAACUGAGAAGAUA